rnacentral:rRNA from 1 species
AGCUUUAAUAGUAUAUAUUAAAGUUGUUGCAGUUAAAAAAAUUGUAGUUGGAUUUCUGGAUGGGCAUGUGGGUCCGCUCUUACGAGUGUGCACCAUACAUAUCUGGAUAUCCUUUGGGAAAGCCACAGUGGCAUUAAGUUGUUAGUGUAGGGAUCCCAAUCCUUUACUGUGAAUAAAUUAGAGUGUUCAAAGCAGGAUUAGGCGGUUGACUGUAUUAGAAUGGAAUAAUAACAUAGGACUAUUGUACUAUUUUGUUGGUUUGCGCACAAUAUUAAUGAUUAACAGGGACAGUUGGGGGUAUUUGUAUUCCAUUGUCAGUGGUAAAAUUUGUGGACUUUUUGAAGACAAACUAGUACAAAAGCAUUUACCAAAGAUGUUUUCA